rnacentral:lncRNA from 1 species
GAAUUGGGAUUGGUGUUUGGAGUCGGCUUGCUAGCCAGGUUGUUGCAUAUAUAUAUGCAGUGUUGGGUGAGCUUUGUACAUCAGAAAAAACGAGAAAAACAAUAAAGAGAUUAUUACGAGGCACGACACGUGCCUCUGACCAUCUUCGUGUUGCUGCAUUCGCGUGCGUAUGUUCUGGUCCCGGUGUUUGCCUCAGCGCCGGUGAGAUAUCGAGUGCUGCAGCUAGUUCGUAUACGUUGAGCCGAGUUGCAUGUGCACGAUUAGUCAAGCUGCAGGGUGAUCGUGUGUUCGAUAGCGAAAAAACCAACAGAAUCGCAGAUCGGGUCGCAGUUGUGAGAUGCAUGAGAAGAAUCGCAGAUGGAUCCCACUCUCAGCUAUGGUGCAGUUUGACCCUGAGGCACGCCAAGGGAUCCUAUGUCCGAGUCUGCCAUCGAUCCAACCACAUCAAUAUUAGACAAACUACAUCAAUCCCGGAUCCAACCUCUAAUCUCCAUCGCAGCAAAGUACCCCUACAUAAUCAAUCGAAGCCCCAGGUAGGUAACCUAGUGUCAUGACUGAUAGUACUUGGGGAUGGUGGGGGUGAACAAGGGGCAUCCGUUGAUGAGACACCAGCCCGAAGCCAUCUCCCUAGGUAGCCGACGAGAAUGUUGGGAGCUUCUUCCACGAUGUUAAAUGUCCCUGUACUAAGGGGGCCUAUGCUCCAUAGGUCAGUGACUCCACCAACAUCAUCAAGGCCGACACCCUGUCUUUGAACAUGAAACCACUGUUGUCAACAGUGAGUGCAACGAACGGUUCCAAUUGGAGUAUUAUGAGUGGAAUUAUCGAGACUGGGUGAGCCCAGGAACUGCCCGAGAUCUCCAAAGUUUAGUGCAAUCUCAUUCUCCAACGAUUGUGUUCCUUUAUAGGAAGAGGCAAGCCAAAAAUGAAAUGUACAUGUACCGGUCUCGGUUAGGUCUAAGUGGUUUCGAGGCAGUCGGUAGUGUUGGUCGCACUGCUGGCCUACUAUUCGGACGAGUCUCUGCAUCUUGAUGUAAAGGUUAUGACUCAAAGGUAUAUUCUGAGCCUUUACGAAGACUCACUUGUGUCUAGGGUGAACCCAGAACGGAGAAAUGUCACCUCAUGUGGUCUCUCCUUUGUGAUCUUCACCAACAGGCAAUAUAUUUCAGCAACACAUAUAUCCUUAGAAAGUUGACAUGUCAAUUACGUACGGGAAACAUAUCGAUUUGUAGCACAUAUGAAUGUUAUCUUAAUUGAUGGUGAAUGCAUCUCCAUAUGCUCGUCCGCAUGGAGGGGUCUGAAGGCGGUGGCGCGGUUGCUGGCCUGCUCAGGACUCGGGAGCGCAGGUGGCCGACAGGGAUGGCACGGCUCGUGGUGCAUGUGUGGG